rnacentral:misc_RNA from 4 species
AACGCACAUUGCGCCCCUCGGUAUUCCGUGGGGCAUGCCUGUUCGAGCGUCAUUUACACCCUCAAGCUCUGCUUGGUGUUGGGCGUCUGUCCCGCUUCAUGCGCGGACUCGCCCCAAAGUUAUUGGCAGCGGUCGUGCCAGCUUCUCGCGCAGCACAUUUGCGCUUCUUGAAGCCCUGGUGGAUCAGCGUCCAGCAAGCUCUAUUUUCGACUUGACCUCGGAUCAGGUAGGGAUACCCGCUGAACUUAA